rnacentral:rRNA from 1 species
CCCGCUGAACUUAAGCAUAUCAAUAAGCGGAGGAAAAGAAACUAACAAGGAUUCCCCUAGUAACUGCGAGUGAAGCGGGAAGAGCUCAAAUUUAAAAUCUGGCGGUUCCGCCGUCCGAGUUGUAUUCUGGAGAAGCGUUUUCCGUGCCGGACCGUGUACAAGUCCCUUGGAACAGGGCGUCGUAGAGGGUGAGAAUCCCGUCUUUGACACGGACCCCCGGUGCUUUGCGAUGCGCUCUCGAAGAGUCGAGUUGUUUGGGAAUGCAGCUCAAAACGGGUGGUAAAUUCCAUCUAAAGCUAAAUAUUGGCGAGAGACCGAUAGCGAACAAGUACCGUGAGGGAAAGAUGAAAAGAACUUUGGAAAGAGAGUUAAACAGUACGUGAAAUUGCUGAAAGGGAAACGCUUGAAGUCAGUCGCGUUGUCCGGGGAUCAACCUUGCUUUUGCUGGGCGUACUUCCCGGUUGACGGGUCAGCAUCAAUUUUGACCGUUGGAUAAAGUCUAGGGGAAUGUGGCAUCUUCGGAUGUGUUAUAGCCCUUGGUCGCAUACAACGGUUGGGAUUGAGGAACUCAGCACGCCGCAAGGCCGGGUAUUCGUACCACGUUCGUGCUUAGGAUGCUGGCAUAAUGGCUUUAAUCGACCCGUCUUGAAACACGG